GACGACGCUGGCGGCAUGCCUAAUACAUGCAAGUCGAACGAGCGGCGGACGGGUGAGUAAUGUCUGGGGAUCUGCCCGAUGGAGGGGGAUAACUACUGGAAACGGUGGCUAAUACCGCAUACUAUCGGAUGAACCCAUAUGGGAUUAGCUAGUAGGUGGGGUAAAGGCUCACCUAGGCGACGAUCCCUAGCUGGUCUGAGAGGAUGACCAGCCACACUGGGACUGAGACACGGCCCAGACUCCUACGGGAGGCAGCAGUGGGGAAUAUUGCACAAUGGGCGCAAGCCUGAUGCAGCCAUGCCGCGUGUAUGAAGAAGGCCUUCGGGUUGUAAAGUACUUUCAGCGGGGAGGCGUUACCCGCAGAAGAAGCACCGGCUAACUCCGUGCCAGCAGCCGCGGUAAUAC
rnacentral:rRNA from 1 species